rnacentral:rRNA from 1 species
UACAGAGGGGGCAAGCGUUAUUCGGAAUUAUUGGGCGUAAAGGGCGCGUAGGCGGCCUGGCAAGUGGAAGGUGAAAUCCCUCGGCUUAACCGAGGAACUGCCCUCCAAACUGCUUGGCUUGAGUCCGGGAGAGGUGAGUGGAAUUCCCAGUGUAGCGGUGAAAUGCGUAGAUAUGUGGAGGAACACCAAUGGCGAAGGCAGCCCCCUGGGUCAACACUGACGCUCAUGCACGAAAGCGUGGGGAGCAAACAGG